rnacentral:rRNA from 1 species
CCUACGGGAGGCAGCAGUGGGGAAUAUUGCACAAUGGGGGAAACCCUGAUGCAGCGACGCCGCGUGAGUGAAGAAGUAAUUCGUUAUGUAAAGCUCUAUCAGCAGGGAAGAAAAUGACGGUACCUGAGUAAGAAGCCCCGGCUAACUACGUGCCAGCAGCCGCGGUAAUACGUAGGGGGCAAGCGUUAUCCGGAUUUACUGGGUGUAAAGGGAGCGUAGACGGGAGGGCAAGUCUGGAGUGAAAGGGGGGGGCUCAACCCUCAGACUGCAGUGGAAACUGUACGGUUGGAGUACAGGAGAGGUAGGUGGAAUUCGUGGUGUAGCGGUGAAAUGCGUAGAUAUUAGGAGGAACAC